rnacentral:tRNA from 1 species
GCCACGGUAGUUCAGUGGUAAAGUUCUAGCCUCCCAACCAGAAUGUUCGGAGUUCGAUCCCCCAGCCAUGACU